AAACAAGCUUUAUAUGGCAAGAGGUGGAAGCAACCCAGUGUCCCUGAAUGGACGAAUGGAUAAACAAAGUAUGGUAUACACAGAAAAUGGCAUAUUAGUCAGCCUUUUAUUUAAAAAGCAAAGAAAUCGUGUCACAUGCUACAUGUAUGAACCUGAAGGAACUGUACUAAAUGAAAUAAGCAGCCACAUAAAGCCAGGUACUGUGGGAUUUCACUUAUAUGAGGCAUCUAAAGUAAGGUAGUCAGAUUCAUAGAAACAAAAUGAAAAGGUGGUUGCCAGGGACUGGGAGGAGAGAGAAAAGCAGAGUUGCUUCAGUUUUGCAAGAUAAAAAGGUUCUGGAGAUGUUUCACAACAAUGCAAGCAUAUUUAACAUUGCUGAACUGUGCACUUAAAGAUGGUUAGUUAAGGUGGUAAAUUUAAUUUGUGUGUGUGUGUGUGUGUGUGUGUGUGUGUGUGUGUGUUUUACCACAAUUAAAAAAAAAUAGGAGCGCCUGGGUGGCUCAGUUGGUUAAACAUCCCACUUCGGCAUGGGUCAUGAUCUCACAGUCCAUGGGUUCAAGUCCCAAAUCAGGCUCUGUGCUGACAGCUCAGAGCCUGGAGCCUGCUUUGGAUUCUGUGUCUCCCUCUCUCUCUGCCCCUCCCCUGCUCGUGCACGCUCUCUCUCUCUCUCUCUCUCUCUCUCUCAAAAAUAAAUAAACAUCAAAAAAAAAAAAAAAGUUUAGUCUUGGAUGCAGCUUUGUUCAGAUAGAUCCCAAAGAAGGAAUCCAGAAGGGUCUGAUCUACAGAUGCCCAGUUCCUUCUUGUAAACUGAUCAAUCAAACAAGUUUUUGCUACCAGCCUAGCAAGAGAUAAGUGAGGGGAUGGGUCAAGAGGCAGGAAGUAUUGCUGAAAUGGAGGUCUCUCCAUGUGGAAAUUUGGUGAUUAAAUUUACUACACAUACUUAGAACUCAAAUAUCUAUGUAUUUGUUGUAUAAAGAGAAUUUUUCAAUUGCUAUUAUUAAAUUGUAUUGUUAAAAUAUAAUGGUAAAAGCAAAAUCAUCACACAUUACAAAAUUUAAAUACCAAAGAAAAAAGCAAAUGAUUUCCAAUAUAUAAAUAAGCAAAUAAAUAAAAGUCAUCAGAAGUUUAAAACUUGUGAAUGUAAUCCUAAAAUUUGUAUGGGACCAUAGAAGACCCCAGGGCACCCAGGUGGCUCAGUUGGUUAAGCACUUGAGUUCAGCUCAGGUCAUGAUCUUGCUGUUCAUGAGUUUGAGCCCCACAUUGGGCUCUCUGCUGUCAGCACAGAGCCCACCUCAGAUCCUCUGUCUCCCUCUCUCUCUGUCCCCCAAAAUAAAUAAACAUUAAAAAAAUAAUUUAAAAAAAAGACCCCAAAUAGCCAAAGGAACCUUGAAAAAGAAAAAACUGAAGGUAUCACAAUUCAAAACUUUAAGGUACAUUACAAAGCUGUAGUGAUCAAAACAGUAUGGUACUGGAUUAAGAUAGACACAUAGAUCCAUAGAACAGAAGACCCAGAAAUAAACCCACAAAUUACAUGGUCAGUUUUUGACAAAGGAGGAAAAAAUAUACAAUGGGGAAAAGACAGGUUCUUCAACAAAUGGUGUUGGGAAAACUGGAUAGCUACAUGCAAAAGAAUGAAACUGGACCACUUUCUUACACCAUACACAAAAGUCAACUCAAAAUGGAUCAAAGAGCUACAUGUGAGACCUGAAACUAUAAAAUUGUAGAAGAGAGCACAGGCAGUGAUGUCUCUGACAUCAGCUGUGGCAACAUUUUUCUAGAUAGGUCUUCUGAGGCAAGGUAAAUAAAAGCAAAAAUAAACUUCAUCAAAAUAAAAAUCUUCUAAAAAUAAAAAAAAUAAAAGUCUUCUGCGCAGCAAAGGAAACAGCCAACAAAACUAAAAGGCAACCUAAUGAAUGGGAGAAGAUAUCUGCAAAUGACAUCAAUAAAAGGUUAGUAUCCAAAAUAAAUAAAGGAUUUAUACAACUCAACACCCAAGAAAUAAAUAAUCCAAUUUAAAAAAUGAGGAGAAGACAUGAACAGACAUUUCUCCAAAGAAGGAAUACAGAUGGCCAACAGACACAUGAAAAGAUGCUUAACAUCACUCAUCAGGGAAGUGCAAAUCAAAACUACAGUGAGAUAUCACUGUCAGAAUGGCUAAAAUAAAAAACACAGGAACCAGCUUUUGGCCAGGAUGUGGGGAAAAAGGAACCCUCUUGCACAGUUGGUGGGAAUGCAAACUAGUGCAGCCACUGUGGAAAACAGUAUGGAGGUUCCUCAAAAAGUUAAAAAUAGAACUGCCCUAAGAUCCAGCAACUGCCCUACUGGGUAUUUACCCAAAGAUACAAAAGUAAUAAUUCAAAGGGAUACACGUACCCCUAUGUUUAUAGCAGCAUUACUUACAAUAGCCAAGAUAUGGAAGCAGCCCAAGUGUCCAUCGACAGAUGAGUGGAUAAGGAAGAUGUGGUGUGUGUGUGUGUGUGUGUGUGUGUAAAAUGGAAUAUUACUCAGCCAUAAAAAAAUGAAAUCUUGCCAUUUGCAACAACAUGAAUGGGACUAGAGAGUAUAAUGCUAAGCGAAAUAGACCAGAGAAAGACAAAUACUAUAUGAUUUCACUCAUGUAGAAUUUAAGAAACAAAAAAAAUGAGCAAAGGGAAAAAGACAAACCAAGAAACAGACUCUUAACUAUAGAGAACAAACUGAUUGUCAGAGGGAAGGCAGGGGGUGGGGGGGAUUGGGCAAAAUAGGUGAUAGGGAUUAAAGAGUACAGUUGUGAUGAGCACUGGGUAAUGUAUGGAAGUGUUGUAUCACUAUAUCGUACACUUGAAACUAAUAUAACACUGUAUGUUAACUACACUGGAAUUAAAAUUAAAAACUUAAUAAAAAAUGACCAACAAGGGGUGCCUGGGUGGCUCAGUCGGUUAAGCAUUCGACUUCAGCUUAGGUCAUGAUCUCACGGUCUGUGAAUUCGAGCCCCACGUCAGGCUCUGUGCUGACCGCUCAGAACCUGGAGCCUGCUUCGGAUUCUGUCUUCCUCUGUCUCUGCCGCUCCCCUGCUUGUGCUCUGGUCUCUCUCUCUC